rnacentral:lncRNA from 1 species
CGUUUUUGACUAAGUAAAGGAAUCAACUAAAGUUUAGGUGAAUAUUCCAUGAUUAUCCAGAGAGAAAUAAGUUGUUUUCCUUUGACCUUUUAAACAUGGCUUUUUAUGUCAAUGAAAUAAACAAUUAAGAUAAGUACGAGAUUGGAGAAUUUUUCUACACUUAUCUACUUGCUUUUAAUCCUAAUGGAACCAUUCUUUUUCUCGUUCAUAAUAUUGGAUUUAAUUUCACUAAUCAUCAUUAAAUCAUUGUGUAUAUCUAAAUCGGUUCAUAAAUUUUAAAAUAUAUUAGUUUAAUUAAAAUUUUAAAGUAUCGAUUGUACGAGCCCAUUUUGCCCGGGCCCAGUGCAAAACAAAAACAAAAUAAAAAUAAAACAUAAACCAAAUACAUUGCAGCCCAAAUUUCAUAUGGCCCAAACUACCCAAAAUUAACCCUAAACCCAAAACAAACAUAACCCUAGCCCAAGAUUAACCCCAUUUUCAGCAAACCCUAGUUUGCUUCCCCAAGCUAGCCGUCGCAAGCUUCCAUGCGUGGCCCCCUCGUCCACCACGCCCCACGCGUCUGACACUCCCACCUGCUCCACCGUGCCCACCACCUGCAACAAGAACAAACACAACAGCAAAGAAAACAUGCGAAUGAUGGGGGAAGUAAUAAACAAAAGGAACAAAACAAAUAUAUUGGCUUUAAAAGCCGAAAUCUAUCAUUGGAACGGGGACGAUUUUUGAUAUUUCAAAGGAGGGGAAAACAGAUUGUAUUUUGGAUGAGGGAUUUGAGGGGAAACAGAUUGUAUUUUGAAAUGGGGGGAUCGAUUGUAUUUUAGGGAAACCGGUUGUAAAUAGGGGGGAUUAGAGAGGAAAAACCGAUUGUAAAACGGGAGAGGUUACAUAGAGAGAAUACAAAAAAGGACUUGAAGGUGAUUUUCAGAUCGAUUUUUUCUUUUUUGAUUUUUUGGGUUCUCGUUUUCUUUCUUCUUGAUCUUUACUUGCUGCACAUUUAUAACAAAAAGGGAGAGCAUUACAAAGCAACAAAAAAUAGAAAAAGCAGUGAUUUCAAGGUUUUCGCACUUUUUUUUCUGUUCUUAUUCUUUUUUUACCGUAUUUUGAAUCUACUUGACAAAUCUAAAAGAGGAGUUUAUUUACCUUUUUUGUUGUCGAUUUAGUCGACGUUGGCUCCUCCGGCCUGAUGGUUGACAGAUCCUUGUGGUCUGGCUAAAACCGCGACGGUGGUGGAGGCGUAUUAUACGCCGGUGAAGCCUAAGAGUCGGCCAAGGUAAAGAAUAGGAGAAAAAUGGGGGCGGUUAGAUAUAAGUUUUAGUAAAAAUGACAGAGCUCAGUGGUUCUUUUUUGUGUUUUUUUAAUAUUGAAACGGUGGUGUUUAAGGGUGGGGGCCGCGUGUUGAUCCAUGCCCAGACCCAAUUUGUGCAUUUAUAUGUCAAAUGGGAAAUUUCCACAAUUAAUCCCUCAUUUUUGCAUCACAUUCCAGCAGACCCCAUUAGCAUCCAUGUGUUUUAUUUUAAUUUUUCCCCAAAAAUUUGUACACCAUUCCAUUUUAGUCCACUCCAAGGUGCAGCGUUUUGG